rnacentral:rRNA from 1 species
GAUGAACGCUGGCGGCAUGCCUUACACAUGCAAGUCGAACGGCAGCAUGACCUAGCUUGCUGGGUUGCUGGCGAGUGGCGAACGGGUGAGUCAUGCAUCGGAACGUGCUGUUUAGUGGGGGAUAACGUAGCGAAAGGUACGCUAAUACCGCAUAUUCUCUGAGGCGUAAAGCAGGGGGCCUACGGGCCUUGCGCUAGAAGAGCGGCCGAGGUCGGAUUAGUUAGUUGGGGAGGUAAAGGCUCACCCAGGCAACGAGCCGUAGCGGGUCUGAGAGGAUGAUCCGCCACACGGGGAGUGAGACACGGCCCAGACGACUACGGGAGGCAGCAGUGGGGAAUGUUGGGCAAUGGGCGCAAGCCUGAUCCAGCCAUGCCGCGUGAGUGAAGAAGGCCUUCGGGUUGUAAAGCUCUUUCGGCUGGGAAGAAAUCGCACUCUCUAAUACAGGGUGUGGAUGACGGUACCGGCAUAAGAAGCACCGGCUAACUACGUG